GUUGUUUGCAUAUAGUUUAUAAGCUUGUCAAUACUAGAUAUCAAUCAUGACAGAGGGAUGUUAGAAGUGCUCUAAAAUGUUGCUCAGUAGGAGUGAGAUGGGCCUUUGAGAAUGUUGCACGAAGAUGUUGAAAAUUAAGCAUCAUAAUUUGGCCUUCCUCCAAAAAAGAUCUCUGCUAGUCGAGCAUUUUAUUCUGAAAUCAACAUCAACACCUGCACUUCAGAAACAUGAUUUCUCUACUAAUUAGUGCAGUAUCACUGCACAGUGCUUCGGAGUCUAUCACAUGCAAUCGACCC